UACGGAGGAUCCGAGCGUUAUCCGGAUUUAUUGGGUUUAAAGGGUGCGUAGGCGGCCCGUUAAGUCCGGGGUGAAAGCCCGCUGCUCAACAGCGGAACUGCCCUGGAUACUGACGGGCUUGAGUACAGACGAGGUUGGCGGAAUGGACUGAGUAGCGGUGAAAUGCAUAGAUACAGUCCAGAACCCCGAUUGCGAAGGCAGCUGACUAGGCUGUUACUGACGCUGAGGCACGAAAGCGUGGGGAGCGAACAGG
rnacentral:rRNA from 1 species